CCCCCGCAAAAGAUGCGCAGGACCUCGAUGGACGAGCCCACCCCUGACCCUCUCAAGGAAAGACAAUGCCAGGCUGGUUUUCGAGUUUAUUGUCGGCACGCUCCCCCGAUGGCAGGCAGCAUCCGAGGCGAGCGCGCCUGAGCCUGGGCGCUCGGAGGACGAGGCCGGGUGCAUCGGGCGCAUCCUCGUCUCCCAGGCGCGUCCCGCUCGCCGCGAGGGAAGGCCGGGGUUCUUCCAACCGAAGAAAACCAAAACCGUCAACGCUCAGCUCCGAGGCCCGCAGGAGGCUUUAAAAAUGGCCUCCUGACGACACUUCCUGCUCGGCGCGGACGCUUUUCAACUUGAUUGUAAAAUGUCACAGCACAGAGAAUGUACCUGGGAAGAUGAGCUUGCAUGGAGCCAGGCAAAGCAGAUUACAAUCUGGGCUCUCUUCUCAUAUUGAAAAAGUAAAGAAAUCUGUUUGGGUACACACAUGAGAGUGAAAGAAGGAAAGGGGGAGAAAAGAGAAAGAGAGACAAAUGCCAAGCAAGCAGGAGGAGAAGGAAGCAGACAGAGAAGGGCACAGCUCCCUCAGAGGGAAGGCAGGAAGAACCACCUGUGAAUUGUCAUUUUUUACCCACUGCCUGGCACACAGUAAGCUCCAAGGCGAACACCAAGUAACAAUGGAAACCUCUAGCAGAUAUUUAAACCGCAGAAAAUUCUUUAAGGGUGCUCUUGAGCCCCUAUGCCGGGGCCCGCUCCCACCCUAUGGAGUGCACUUUCAUUUUCAAUAAAUCUCUGUUUUUGUUGCUUCA